rnacentral:tRNA from 1 species
GGUAAAAUGGCCGAGAGCUUAGGCGGCGGAUUGUAGACCCGACUACAGAGGUUAAAACCCUCUUUUUACCA